UACGUAGGGGGCAAGCGUUGUCCGGAAUCAUUGGGCGUAAAGCGCGUGUAGGCGGUUCGGUAAGUCUGCUGUGAAAGUCCAGGGCUCAACCCUGGGAUGCCGGUGGAUACUGUCGGACUAGAGUACGGAAGAGGCGAGUGGAAUUCCCGGUGUAGCGGUGAAAUGCGCAGAUAUCGGGAGGAACACCAAUUGCGAAGGCAGCUCGCUGGGACGUUACUGACGCUGAGACGGCGAA
rnacentral:rRNA from 1 species